AUUGAACGCUGGCGGAAUGCUUUACACAUGCAAGUCGAGCGGCAGCGCGGGGGCAACCCUGGCGGCGAGCGGCGAACGGGUGAGUAACUUAUCGGAACGUACCCAGUCGUGGGGGAUAACUAUCCGAAAGGAUAGCUAAUACCGCAUACGUCCUGAGGGAGAAAGCGGGGGAUCGCAAGACCUCGCGCGAUUGGAGCGGCCGAUAUCGGAUUAGCUAGUUGGUGGGGUAAAGGCUCACCAAGGCGACGAUCCGUAGCGGGUCUGAGAGGACGACCCGCCACACUGGAACUGAGACACGGUCCAGACUCCUACGGGAGGCAGCAGUGGGGUAUUUUGGACAAUGGGGGCAACCCUGAUCCAGCCAUUCCGCGUGAGUGAAGAAGGCC
rnacentral:rRNA from 1 species